rnacentral:lncRNA from 1 species
AGAGCUGAGAGAUGGAUCGGCCUUCCCCGUGGAGCACUCUGAGACAUGUCAUAGCUCAUUGACAUCUCGCAAUACAGGUCAAAAAGGUACAUCCCAGCCUUCUUGCACAUAGAAACACUACACAGCACUUCAGCUGUAUGUUUGGGGGCCAUUUUAAACAGCAAAAUCAUCAACAGGAAGCAGAAAAUUGUAAAAAUUGUGGCACUAAAUAGACCAUGUAAAGGACACAUGUUUGCAAUAAGAAAGCUGAAACAAGAAGGGGGAGUGUCACCUUAUUUGAUCCAGCUAGAAACUCAGGUGCUGGUAUUCCAGCAACACUCAGGCGGCUGCUCCAGGAGGCUGCAGAGGGGUCCUUUUUAGCCGUCAACAAAACUGGCUAUGGUCACGCCCAUUGGGAAACUCAUUGCUGCCUUCAAGGUGGAAGUUAAAGUCAUCACAGUUCUUUCAUGAAAGGAGAAAACUUCUACAUAGAAGAUGAGAAGCUUCUUUGGGGCAGAGACUAUAGACUCAGAAGCUGUAGGAAUAUUCAGGCACAGACACCAGACCCAGCUUCAUCUCUAACUUGUGGCAAAGGACAGUACAUCCUGGGAUGGGACCCUAUGCUCCCCUAUGCCAUUUAGACAGAGCCUGGGGAGAGUGACUUCCCAGGGUAUCCAUGUUGGAAUCUCUCAUUUGAUUCUUAUUCAAAUGUAAGUCAUUCUCCGAGGCCCAUAUAAAGUCAACCUCAUCC